AAGGUAACGGCUUACCAAGGCGACGAUCAGUAGCCGACCUGAGAGGGUGAUCGGCCACAUUGGAACUGAGACACGGUCCAAACUCCUACGGGAGGCAGCAGGGGGGAAUAUUGCACAAUGGGCGAAAGCCUGAUGCAGCAACGCCGCGGGAGUGAUGAAGGCCUUCGGGUCGUAAAACUCUGUCCUCAAGGAAGAUAAUGACGGUACUUGAG
rnacentral:rRNA from 1 species